rnacentral:rRNA from 1 species
CAGUAGCCGCGGUAAUACAGAGGGUGCGAGCGUUAAUCGGAUUUACUGGGCGUAAAGCGUGCGUAUGCGGCUUCUUAAGUCGGAUGUGAAAUCCCUGAGCUUAACUUAGGAAUUGCAUUCGAUACUGGGAAGCUAGAGUAUGGGAGAGGAUGGUAGAAUUCCAGGUGUAGCGGUGAAAUGCGUAGAGAUCUGGAGGAAUACCGAUGGCGAAGGCAGCCAUCUGGCCUAAUACUGACGCUGAGGUACGAAAGCAUGGGGAGCAAACAGGAUUAGAUACCCCAGUAGUCCCUGUCUCUUAUAC